rnacentral:rRNA from 1 species
AACGAACGCUGGCGGCAUGCCUAAUACAUGCAAGUCGAACGAGAUCUUCGGAUCUAGUGGCGCACGGGUGCGUAACGCGUGGGAAUCUGCCCUUGGGUUCGGAAUAACUUCUGGAAACGGAAGCUAAUACCGGAUGAUGACGUAAGUCCAAAGAUUUAUCGCCCAAGGAUGAGCCCGCGUAGGAUUAGCUAGUUGGUGGGGUAAAGGCCCACCAAGGCGACGAUCCUUAGCUGGUCUGAGAGGAUGAUCAGCCACACUGGGACUGAGACACGGCCCAGACUCCUACGGGAGGCAGCAGUAGGGAAUAUUGGACAAUCGGCGAAAGCCUGAUCCAGCAAUGCCGCGUGAGUGAUGAAGGCCUUAGGGUUGUAAAGCUCUUUUACCCGGGAUGAUAAUGACAGUACCGGGAGAAUAAGCUCCGGCUAACUCCGUG